CAUCCAGAUUGAUCAAGAAGAAGAUACGAGGAAUCCCCGGAUGCGCUGCUAGCUACUAAGUGUCCAGCUGCGAUGUCGUAAGGUCCUGUCAAUAAUUAUUCAAGGAAUUAUGUCACUUUUCAUCCAAACGUAUCAUAUACGUAUGUUGCUUCCAACAUUAUAGGACAAUCCCAUUUUGAAUUGAUGAAAUAAUGUAUGAGUAAGAGGAAGAAAUAUAAAAUUUAGUGCGUUCUA